rnacentral:sRNA from 1 species
AUACAUCAUCGUUUUGAGUCUAGUUUCAUAUCAUUCAUCAUUGUUUUAAAUAAUUCCUCAUCAUUCUUGCAUACUUUGCAUGAUUAGGAUAGCUUUGCAUACAUAUUGCAUUUUUGAGUUGUUUUCAGGUGAUUUGGAGUUGUUGGCGAGCAAAUAGGAAAAACCAUGUCGGAACCAGAAGACAUACUCGACCCCCAGGUUGAGUACAUCCAGUACCAUACUCGACCCAUUGGUCGAGUGAAAUUGGAGCCAUUCUUCCCAUCUACUAGACCCCGUGGUCGAGUAACAGCAGCCCCGGCCACUCGAUGACACCACUCGACCACGUGGUCGAGUAACACUACGUCACACCACCUGACCACCACUCGGCCAUUCACUCUACCACAUUACUCGACCCCCAGGUCGAGUAUCAUCACUCACCACCAAUCGACCAUUCACUCUACAAUGUUACUCGACCCCCUGGUCGAGUAUAUCAGUCAACACCCAGCGCCAUCACUCGACCAAGCAGUUGAUCACAUCUUCAUAGUCUACUCAAAUCCGCACUCAACCAGACAAGCUGUGCUCAAGGAAGAGAAGAGGGGAAGAAGAAGUGUUUGGAAGCGGUCUGGAGCUUCAUUUGAUCAUGAAGCCCAUCUUGGCCCAUUAUCACUCUAUGGGCCAGACGAUAGGGUUCCCGGUCUAUCUACUAUCAUUUUAUUUCGUUUUGUAUAAAAUAGGUGUUUGAGGGUUUUGUCCUCGGACAUCUAAUCGACAUUGAGUUUUUACUUCAGUUUUUAUUUCUAUU